rnacentral:rRNA from 1 species
UGGGCCCGACGUCGCAUGCUCCCGGCCGCCAUGGCGGCCGCGGGAAUUCGAUUAGAGUUUGAUCAUGGCUCAGAUUGAACGCUGGCGGCAGGCCUAACACAUGCAAGUCGAGCGGUAGAGAGAAGCUUGCUUCUCUUGAGAGCGGCGGACGGGUGAGUAAUGCCUAGGAAUCUGCCUGGUAGUGGGGGAUAACGUUCGGAAACGGACGCUAAUACCGCAUACGUCCUACGGGAGAAAGCAGGGGACCUUCGGGCCUUGCGCUAUCAGAUGAGCCUAGGUCGGAUUAGCUAGUUGGUGGGGUAAUGGCUCACCAAGGCGACGAUCCGUAACUGGUCUGAGAGGAUGAUCAGUCACACUGGAACUGAGACACGGUCCAGACUCCUACGGGAGGCAGCAGUGGGGAAUAUUGGACAAUGGGCGAAAGCCUGAUCCAGCCAUGCCGCGUGUGUGAAGAAGGUCUUCGGAUUGUAAAGCACUUUAAGUUGGGAGGAAGGGCAGUAAAUUAAUACUUUGCUGUUUUGACGUUACCGACAGAAUAAGCACCGGCUAACUCUGUGCCAGCAGCCGCGGUAAUACGAAUCACUAGUGAAUUCGCGGCCGCCUGCAGGUCGACCAUAUGGGAGAGCUCCCCA